rnacentral:rRNA from 1 species
GUGUCAGCCGCCGCGGUAAUACGAAGGUGGCGAAUGUUGCUCGGAUUCACUGGGCGUAAAGCGUCUGUAGGUGGCUUGUUAAGUUAGAGGUGAAAGCCCCGCGCUCAACGUGGGAACUGCCUUUAAAACUGGCGAGCUUGAGAGUAUCAGAGGAAGGCGGAAUAACUGGUGUAGAGGUAAAAUUCAUAGAUAUCAGUUGGAACAUCCAUGGCGAAGGCAGCUUUCUGGGGUAUUUCUGACACUGAGAGACGACAGCGUGGGGAGCAAACAGGAUUAGAUACCCCAGUAGUCC